GAUGAAGAACGUAGCGAAAUGCGAUACGUAAUGUGAAUUGCAGAAUUCAGUGAAUCAUCGAGUCUUUGAACGCACAUUGCGCCCCCUGGUAUUCCGGGGGGCAUGCCUGUCCGAGCGUCAUUGCUGCCCUCAAGCACGGCUUGUGUGUUGGGCCUCCGUCCUCCUCCCGGGGGACGGGCCCGAAAGGCAGCGGCGGCACCGCGUCCGGUCCUCGAGCGUAUGGGGCUUCGUCACCCGCUCUUGUAGGCCCGGCCGGCGCUUGCCGACACAUCAAUCUUUCCAGGUUGACCUCGGAUCAGGUAGGGAUACCCGCUGAACUUAAGCAUAUCAAUAAGCGGAGGA
rnacentral:misc_RNA from 1 species